rnacentral:rRNA from 1 species
GAUGAACGCUGGCGGCGCGCCUAACACAUGCAAGUCGAACGGCACCCCUCCUCGGAGGGAAGCGAGUGGCGAACGGCUGAGUAACACGUGGAGAACCUGCCCCCUCCCCCGGGAUAGCCGCCCGAAAGGACGGGUAAUACCGGAUACCCCGGGGUGCCGCAUGGCACCCCGGCUAAAGCCCCGACGGGAGGGGAUGGCUCCGCGGCCCAUCAGGUAGACGGCGGGGUGACGGCCCACCGUGCCGACAACGGGUAGCCGGGUUGAGAGACCGACCGGCCAGAUUGGGACUGAGACACGGCCCAGACUCCUACGGGAGGCAGCAGUGGGGAAUCGUGCGCAAUGGGGGGAACCCUGACGCAGCGACGCCGCGUGCGGGACGGAGGCCUUCGGGUCGUAAACCGCUUUCAGCAGGGAAGAGUCAAGACUGUACCUGCAGAAGAAGCCCCGGCUAACUACGUG